rnacentral:rRNA from 1 species
UACGGGGGGGGCAAGCGUUGUUCGGAAUUACUGGGCGUAAAGGGCUCGUAGGUGGCCAACUAAGUCAGACGUGAAAUCCCUCGGCUUAACCGGGGAACUGCGCUUGAUACUGGAUGGCUUGAGAUUGGGAGAGGGAUGCGGAAUUCCAGGUGUAGCGGUGAAAAUGCGUAGAUAUCUGGAGGAACACCGGUGGCGAAGGCGGCAUCCUGGACCAACACUGACGCUGAGGAGCGAAAGCCAGGGAGCAAACGGGG